AGAAUUAUACACUGAUUGUGAGCAGCCAGACCAAAACCUCUGAUGUGGCCAAGAACAAGGACUGGAAUAAAAUAUUGCUGGGAAUUUUUCAGUCAACUCAAUUCAGUGGAUAUUUAUUGAGCUCAUAUAACUCAUCAUGUUCAAGAAUGAAGAGAUCAAGAAUCCUCAACCACCAUCCUUCUGGAGAGCAAAUCUGUACAUUCUCAUAUUCAGAUUCAACCAAAAUGAGGCCAUAAGUGGAAAGAAAAAGUUGGGUGAGGUGGUGAAGACACAGUCCAGAGGAGUGUGACCUGGCCAAUUGGCUUCCCUUCUCAGGUAACGGGGAAAUUUCAGACUUGUGGGCAGAGGUGAAAAUUUCAGACUUGCGGCAGUGGUGACCAACAGCUGAAGUUUUUCUUCUUUUCCUUCACCCGUUCAUGUCCUGUGAGGCAGAAGGGAGUUCUGGAGGGAGCACACCCUCCAGUCUGGGAUUCAGCCCUCUCCUUUGCCAUAGUAUUUAUGAAUAUUAUCGGGGUCCUCGCUAGGAACCCCGUUGCUGUGUGCAAACCGAUGGUGGACUCUAUUUUGGUUCUAAUCGUGAAAUAGCAACAAGUCUUUCCUCUCAUUAGCUUUCUGGCCUUCAUAUCAUCAGAUGUUGUGGGAAAUUAUGUGGAUAUAAAUCAAACCAUUUUCCUAAGAGCUGAGAGACACACGUGCAAGUGUUGCCAUGACUACCACUCCUCACCAGCAGCUGGGAGGGAAACUAGGGUACCACUUGAUGGUUCUUUUCUUUAUGAUGUUAAUAGUUUAACAUUCCUGUUUCAACUGAGUUAUUUUUCUUGGUUUCAUGUUUUGUUUUGUUUUGUUUUUACUUUCUUGAACUAAUAUCAUUUGUAUUAAUUCAUGAGCUAUGGUCGUUGAACUUUAAGGUGAAUGUAUGCACAGUUUUUGUAUAUAAAUGAAUAUGUUAAUUGUGGUAGAUUAAGUAUCAGAAGCUUUCAUGAUAUUUUCAAAGAGGUCUGUGCUGCAAAACAUGGGUUAAGUAUUAUUAACCUUGCUAAUAAAGGUGUCACUCAUACAGUCAACUUUAGGGUUUUAGCCUUAAGCCAUUAGGGCACCAUCUGACCCACAGUUUAAUGAGAUAUAAUAAAAGCUGGGACAACUACCCAGUUUGCCUAGGAAAUUGCUCCAGCUCUAUCACUCAAUUAGUUUAUUUCCUCCUUUCUUUAAUAGUCUAGAAUCCUUUGGCUUAAAACCUGGAUACUCUUCUUAGGUAUAUUACCUUAUUAUUGAUAAGAUGUUUGAACAGUCUGUCAUUUUAAUUUGUACCUUCUUUGCACCAAAAUCAAAAGAGGGAAUGAAAAUUGAGAAACUGGUAACCUUUUCAGUCUUCUCAGUUAGGCUUCCUUGAUAUAACUUCCAAGCUCUGAAUCCAGAAUCACAGAUUUUAGGGUUCCAGCCCUCUUACUGCCUGGGAAAGAAAUUUUGACAUGUAAUACAAGUUUUGGGCGUUCUGAGAAUAAAAUGACUUUCCAGAUCUGUCUUCCUUCAUCUAAUUCGAGGACACCAUUCCAUUCACUCAUGCCACGUGGAGCAUGUUUCUUUCAACAUCUAACACACAAAUGGGUUACCUUUGUCUUUUUACUUGGAUUGACUGGAUUGGUCCCAGAAGCUACCCCAAACCUGGUUUGAACCUUCCUGUUGUCUGGUUUCCUAAAGAUGAACCUUUCUUUCCAAGGCUACUUGGACUAUAGGAAAAUUGUAUCUUGAUUCCUUCUAACCUUUGCUCUAUCCUCCCUCUUAAAAUGCUUCAUCAGAUCUGACAAUAGCUCUCUUUUUGACUUCCAGAUAUGUGACCCUUUAGCAAGUCACAGCUUUUUUUCUUGAUCUUCUCUUUGAAAGCAAUCCAAUGGAUAAGAGAACCUUAACAUAUUUAGAAAUUUAUUGUCUUUAGACCUUCUAAAAAUAAGCUUCUGUCAUUUAUUUAGGACCUCCCAAUCUUGUUUAAAAAAAAACUGCAAACACAAAAAUGCACAAUGUUGGAGUAAUAAUAAAGCUUCUUGUGAAGCUAGGAGGAAAAUGAAAAUGACUUUUUCAAGUACACUAGAAAAUCUUGGGUGAAAUUGGGUUGUAUAACUUAUUCCCCAGAGGAAAGUGGGUCCUGUAUCCCAUGUAAUGACUCUCUGAUCUCUGAAGGCUAAGCUAAAAGUAAUCUCUACUCAGAGUCUAGUCAUUACUCUGUCAUUUUGACUUUUUGGUCACUUUGAGCCUUAAUUUUUUUAUGAUUUUUUUGGAUCUCAUAAUUACUUAGCUGGCUCACUGUAGCUACUGUAACUUUUGCAACUUUUAAAUGUUCCUUGAUACAGAAACACUUAAGCAUAAAUAUUCUUAAACACAUAAACAACUUCAUACAGCCACUAAAAGACAACAAAAAAAGGGAAACAUUGCUAUCUUCUGAUGAUCUAAGCCGCUUAAGAGAAGUGAGCAGUUUUUUGAAGUUACAUUAAUGUUUUCAAGUUCCUAGGUUUCCAUUUAGGACAUUGAACCAAGAGUUAACAAUUUGGUAUUUAUAGGAAGCCAAAUAACCUGGAGAGAGAAGGAAAUAGAAUAAAGCAUAUGUCAGUGGUAACAUAAAUUAUCCUGAUGACAUGUUUUAACAGAAUGUUUACUUCAGAGCACCCUGUUUAGCCAAUUGAUUUUGAAGGUUGCCAACCAAAAUGGAUAAUUAGUAUCUAAUCAAGACAGCUAAAAUGAGUAGUUGGGUCCCAUCUUUGAGCAUGUAUCAUGUCCAAAAAAUGUUUUGAAUGAGUUUGACCUGCCUGACAGAUGUCAACUGGGACUGGGCCAUUUGUAAGGCUGCAUUAAGUAAAAAGAUAGCAAACUGCUUAGAACCGCAGAUUGAAUUCAUCAGCUGAACAAGAUGCUUCCAGAAUUCAGUCUGUGUCUCUGUAUGAGGACCUGAUAUUCUGGAACUGAGAUCAAAGAUUCCACUUACAGAAUAUGAAUUGACUUUACAGUUUUGAAGUAGCAUUUUUGGGGGUCUUUUUUAAAAAUUAAAGUAUUCUUGAUUUACAUUUUUUUUUUUUGUCUGCAACUGCAGCAUAUGCAAGUUCCCAGGCUAGGGGUCAAAUUAGAGCUGCAGGUCUACACCACAGCCAUGGCAACAUUGGAUCCAGGCGGCAUCUGCAGCCUAUGCCACUGAGUUAGCAGUUCUUGAUGAUCUUUUAAGGUAGUCUGUUCUUAUAGCAGAAGUCUUUUUCUUUUCCCGUUUCUUCCUUCUUCCCUCCCUUUCUCUUUCCCGCCCUCUCUCUCUCCUUUUUUUUUCUUUCUUUCUUUUUGUCACCUGUUGUUAACAUUUUUAUUGUCUCUAGUUAAUCUUCCUUUUUUUAUGUUCAGGAUAGGGUCUAAGUACCUGUUUUAAAGAUACCGUAUCAUAUUUACUCCAAUAGGAAUGUCUCCAGUAAGAUUGAGAAGGCAAACUGGGGAAAGAUUUUAGUAUAUUUUCAUGCUUCUAAUAAAUGAAAUCAUUUUACUCCCCAAAUUUAUUUUUUCUUUAAUAAUCAAAAACAAUAUUGCUCAAAUCCAACAUCUCUUGGAGUUCAGUGCUUAGUUUUUUGUUGCAGUGGCAGGGGGCUUUCCCCUUAUGUGACUUUCUCCUUUCUCUUUUCAAAUAUCCUUGCUGAUCUAUUGCAUUUUUCUUUAGACCAUCCCACUUCCUAAUACUUCAAAACUGGAAAGUUACUUCACAUUUUUAGUAACUUGUGUUAAUUUUUAAAUAUUUUUUCUCAAACGUAUUUUAGCUGACAUAUAGUUCAUCAACUGAUUCUUUGCUAGCCCAGCUUCACCUCACUACACUUGUCAUGGUUUUCGUGUCUUUUUCUGUCUUCUUGGCUCAUGUUACUUCUUUUACUUUCUGUUCUUCUCCAACAAGAUAUAACCAUCUUUACCUCACACAGUUUCUAGCAUCUUCUUUUUUUUCCAGGGGAUUCCCAUAAGCUCUUUACACAUUAGCACUGUACUAAAGUUCGUUAUAUACCAUAGUUUCUUACUUAAGUAUCUAUGGUUCACAUGAUAGAGUGAUUUUAUUUAUAGCAAACAAUAGCUAAUUCUCCUCUAUAAUUCCAAUGGUUGGCACAGAGUAGAUUUCCAAAAUAUGCUGACUGAAUACAUUAACAUAAAAUUUAUUUUACUUCUUCAUUUAUUUAUUUGUGGGAUAAACACAGUGUUAGACUGCAUAUUGGCUUGUGAGAGCUAAAUGAUCCAUCAGCAGAUCUUAUGACUGUCUAUGUUCAAGCUCCUUCCAGAAACUUAUAGUAUGUCCCUAUUCCUCUAUGGUUCUUAGAAUUUUUUUUUUCACCUUUUUUUCUCCUCCUGUCUUACCAGCACACCAUACUUUAUCCAAACUGGACUGGGGAGCAGGGAGGUGGGAGGUUAUUUGAGUUCCUUUCUCUCUUCACAAUUUAAGCCCAGAGGGAUGAUGAGUAAAAUGUUUAAUGAGAUAUUGGAAACGACUCAGACCCAUCCAUUUCAAUCAUGAUCUAAUCAUUUAGUGAGAGAAGGAAGAUGAAAGAAUAGUACUAAUGUAAUGUCUGCACCAAUAGAAUACUAAAGCUCUCCAAAGGCAAAAUAAAGGGGGAGGAUCCCAUCCCACUUGAGGCUAAGUUGCAUCCGCCACUGAGAUUCAGGCAAACACAGGGAAAUUUAAUGAGCUAAUAUAAUGGGUGGUCUGAAGACAUCUAUUCGCAUGAAUUUACAUGAUUAUCAUGGGACAGGUUGACUGCCAAAACAGAGGAAAGUGGGAUAAAAUGGAGAUGCAGAAGGCAGCAAGGUGCCUGUUGUAAGUAUUGUCCUCUAAUAACAUGUCAGGGACUCAUUUCUGAGAUUUAUGGAAGGAGAAACUUCAAGCAGGGUCCUGACCUUGAGACAAGGAGAGCUUUGUUGGCAGCGUACAGACAUCUGGAUAUAUAACAGUAGUAGGAAGAAGAAUAUUCCAACCCCCAAUCCGCACCCACCCCCAAAUAUAGUUGGUAAUAUCAGGAGAAUCAGGAGGCACAAGUAUUAGAAUCCUUUCAUUGCUUUCCAGGUAGUUAAUGCAACUGACAGAAUGGUUGUGAUACAUGUGACGCACUCUGAGCAUCAGUAAAAAUAAACAGGUGAAACUUCAUGGGGGAUGGUGCCUCUUAAGAUAUGAGUACAUAUGAAUCACAGGUAUCAACAUGAAUACACAUGCCUGAGAAGAGUGCCGGAAUAGAGGGAUGGAAAUAUUAAACCUGUUCAAAUUGGGUUAUCCUUUUUGUUUUUCUUACUCUUUUUGGUGCAUUAGAAAGAUUUUAACAUUCACAGAGACUCAGUUUUCUCCCAGUUCUAUUACUCUCAUCCCAGCACCAAAGUGCUGUCUUCACGUGGGGGAGCAUUUUAAAAUUAAGCCUCUAGUUUUGCCUUCAGGGAAGGACAAACAAGCUUUUUGGUAAUCAUUCUUGUCUGGUUAUGAUGUGCCAUCAAGAUCUACUAAGCAAGCAAAGAGAAAAAUUUAUUGACUAAGAGAUAGAGAUAGAAGGAUUAGGAAGGAAUAACAAAAGCAACUAGACAGAGAACUGUGGGUAGGAAAAGUAAAUGAAGAAGACAUCAACUCAGAAGCCUGCAAAGGUAUCUUGGAACAUUUGUCCAAGGAGCAAGGGUGGAGGUUGGGAAAGAGACCACUGCCCAUCAAUGCCAGGUCAGUAAACCUCAGGCCACUUUGAGGGGUACACUAGUUAGAAACUAUGAACAACAACAAUAGUAACCCUUUAUUUUUUCUCAUUGGGUUAUAGUUAGGCAGGUGGGCUCUGAUGAUCUGGGCUGGGUAUGACUGAUCCUAGGUAUGCUUGCUCAUAGGCCUGAAUUAGCUAUUAGGUUGGCUGGAGCAGGUCGAUCUGGAAGAGCCCUGGCUAGGCUAACUCCAGUGUGUCUCUGACAUCCUCCAUUAAGGUAGUGCUGGCAGACAGGAAAACAGAAUGUGCAAGUACUAUUUUCAAGUAUCUGUUUGAGUCAAACUUGUACUUCUCAUUGGCCAAGACAUGUCACAUGGUCAAGCCCAGUGUCACCAAGGGAGGGCACUAUCAAAGGCAUGAGUAUAGGAAUGUGGCAUUAUUCAGACUCCCAGGUGCCAUCUGGGAAGUUGACUCUGUUACACAACAGAGAUCCUAUCACCACCUGCACUCAGGACCUGCACCAGGUCUUCUUACCCACCGCAGAAUAGACACAGCAAGAAGCUUGGCUUGGUUGCAUCUGUAUCUCACUUUUGCCCUCACCUUAUGAUUUGAAAGUUUUGAUUACAAUAUUUUAAUUAAAUAGUUUAGUAGAAAGCUAAAAUGUACUGGUAAUGAUAUAAUCCUUCAGAUAAAUUUAAAAAACCUUAAUCUCAGUUUUGAAUAAUUAUAAAUCUUAGUUUCAUUAAUUUCUAGUUUUGGAACAAAACUGCUUACUUAAAGGUACUUGUCAUUCUUUCCAUUCAGAGUUUAAGCAUAAUAUUAACUAUUAUCUUGGGCUGACCUCACAUGAAUUUAAUAUUAACAGCAUGAAUUCAAUGCUGUAUAAAUAUGUGCAACUGAUAUAUGCUAUCCUUUUAUUUUAUCCAG
rnacentral:lncRNA from 1 species